rnacentral:rRNA from 1 species
GACGAACGCUGGCGGCGUGCUUAACACAUGCAAGUCGAGCGGUAAGGCCCUUUCGGGGUACGACGAGCGGCGAACGGGUGAGUAACACGUGGGUGACCUGCCCUCCAGCUCUGGGAUAAGCCUGGGAAACCGGGUCUAAUACCGGAUAUGACUCCAUGACGCAUGUUGUGGGGUGGAAAGCCUUGUGCGGCUGAGGAUGGGCCCGCGGCCUAUCAGCUUGUUGGUGGGGUGANGGCCUACCAAGGCGACGACGGGUAGCCGGCCUGAGAGGGCGACCGGCCACACUGGGACUGAGACACGGCCCAGACUCCUACGGGAGGCAGCAGUGGGGAAUCUUGCGCAAUGGGCGAAAGCCUGACGCAGCGACGCCGCGUGAGGGAUGACGGCCU